ACCAGUCGAAAUAGUCUUCUUUAUAGCUCGAUUAAUAAUAUACACAAAUCGAUUAAAAAAUAUUUUAUUUCACCAAACGAUAGGUUGUGAAGUCUACGUUCAAACAGUGUACUCCGCUAAGGAUUUUUCCGGACGGAACAUACCUUAUAAACUGGUGAUAAACGGUAGGUAGUAACGCACAGCAUAUACAGAAUGUAACUGGACUAUUUUAUAUUUUUACAUAUAAAUACAAUGUAAUAACCUAACCUAACUACUAUAUCUAUAUACGAUUUUAGCGAGGCUUUUUGAAAAGAAACACAUAUGUAACAAAGUGGCCAAAGUUGAAGUAAAAAAUAUCGAAUAUCCUAAUCAAAAGGAUUCUUUUAAUUUCGGAGUUUAUUGUUUAUAUAAUACUGAAUGCUUGAUGAGAAGCCGAAAAAAUAUUAUUUUUGAUACUAAUUUCGAUCCAAUGGUGUCUAGAAUAAAACUGAAAAAAGAUGCUUUUGGAAAGCUCUGAUUUUAUGAGAGAUAUUUGUUUAUACUGUGGAAAUUCAG